GACAGAGGCCUCGAGCGUUAGGCGGAAUCACUGGGCUUAAAGCGUGUGUAGGCGGGCCCGUAAGUGUCUUGUUAAAUCCCACGGCUCAACCGUGGAACUGCUGGGCAUACUGCGGGUCUUGGGCCAACUAGGGGCAGCCGGAACAAGCGGUGGAGCGGUGAAAUGCGUAGAUAUCGCUUGGAACGCCGAAGGUGAAAACAGGCUGCUGGGGUUGCGCCGACGCUGAGACACGAAAGCCAGGGGAGCAAACGGG
rnacentral:rRNA from 1 species